rnacentral:rRNA from 1 species
AAGAGGAAUGGAGGCAUCGGUUUUCGAGAUAUGCAUUUGUUUAACCAAGCUCUACUUGCUAGACAAGGUUGGCGAUUAAUACAGAAACCUGAGAGUCUUUGUGCUAGAUUGCUCAAAUCAAAAUACUAUCCAAACGGAAACUUGCUUGAUACGGUAUUUUCUUCGGAUGCUUCCCCAGCUUGGAGAGGGAUCGAAUUUGGUUUAGAACUCCUAAAAAAAGGUUUGAUCUGGCGCAUAAGGAAUGGAAGGAAGAUCCAAAUUCAACGGGAUCAAUGGAUCCCAAGGAAAGAAGGAUUAAAAGUGGCCACUUUCACUAGGAGAUCAAGGCUAAGGUGGGUUAACCAAUUGAUGAGGCCAAACAGCAAGGAAUGGAAUACGGAAUUAAUAAACAUUUGUUAUGGAUGA